rnacentral:rRNA from 1 species
AGCAGUCGCCGCGGUAAUACGGAGGGUGCAAGCGUUAAUCGGAAUUACUGGGCGUAAAGCGCACGCAGGCGGUCUGUCAAGUCGGAUGUGAAAUCCCCGGGCUCAACCUGGGAACUGCAUUCGAAACUGGCAGGCUAGAGUCUUGUAGAGGGGGGUAGAAUUCCAGGUGUAGCGGUGAAAUGCGUAGAGAUCUGGAGGAAUACCGGUGGCGAAGGCGGCCCCCUGGACAAAGACUGACGCUCAGGUGCGAAAGCGUGGGGAGCAAACAGGAUUAGAUACCCCGGUAGUCCCUGUCUCUUAUAC